UACGUAGGGUGCGAGCGUUGUCCGGAAUUAUUGGGCGUAAAGAGCUUGUAGGCGGUUUGUCGCGUCUGCUGUGAAAUCUCAAGGCUCAACCUUGAGCUUGCAGUGGGUACGGGCAGACUAGAGUGUGGUAGGGGAGACUGGAAUUCCUGGUGUAGCGGUGAAAUGCGCAGAUAUCAGGAGGAACACCGGUGGCGAAGGCGGAUCUCUGGGCCAAUUACUGACGCUGGAGGAGCGAAAGCGUGGGAGCGAACAGG
rnacentral:rRNA from 1 species